GUUUGUAUUGAUGAGUUCUAUAUGUGUACCGAGUUUCGUGUGUCUACGUACAAGUAUGUAUGAUAUAUGGCCCUCCAUAUUCCAGGGGGCGCUGUAGAGCCCCUGUGCCACGCCCGUGUAUCAGUCUCUGCCCGGCCCUAAUGGCCGCAGGUUCCAAUGUGUGUGCCAAUUUUCAAGACUUUUUAAGCAUGUUAAGGGCCCCAAAAGCCCCCGAAACCUUGAAGAAAAAUAAUAAUAAAUAUAGCUGCAAGCAGCGAUGGCGGGCUCAAGCCACCAAUGCCAUCGCCACCCCGGUGGCAUCAGGUAAACUGUGCCCAGCGGGCACAUGCAUUCACAAUAUCCCUCUGGCAGUGAGUUUUAAAGGAUACGGCAGUUAAAGGGUUAAUCCGAAUCAUCUAGACUUUAAAAUCACAUUUACAGAACAAUAUAUAUAUUAGUAACACUGUACAAUAAGAUUUCAUUUAUAAACAUUAUGUUAACAUGAACAAUAUUUAUAUAGCAUUCAUUCAUGUCAGUUAAUAUUCCAAACUUAAACAUGAAAACAUUGUUUUAUUGUGAUUUUUUUCCAAGUACAUUUUACCAAUUCCAAACCAUAUAAAUCUUAAUAACUACCAUUAUUUUUUAUUUAAUCAUUUAUGAGUGCUAUACAAUAGUCCAGGAAAGCUGGAAGAGAAAAACUCCUUAUAUUCAUGUGUGCAGAAUUAUUAGGCAUGUUUUCUUUUACAGAUGAAAUGCGCUAAAAUAGACUUUUAACUCAAACUGUAAGGUCGAAAAUUAUGAAAUACCCAUGAGAAAUAUCAAACACAAAUGCAAUACAGAAAUGGAUAAGUUAAGACUUGACCAUUGUACAAAAAAUACUGACUGGGUCAUGAGGUCAGAAAAGAAGAAGAAAAAAGCAGGUCAAGAAGAACUGACAAAAAGAAUUGCAAAAUAAUUAGGAAUUAAUGUGAAGAUUAAUUUUUAGUCAAUUCUGCAAGACAGACUUUCAGGAAAGGAGGU